rnacentral:lncRNA from 1 species
CUCAAAUUCUCUGUCAGUUUAAAGAAGUUUAAUUUGGAUACACUGUAUUGACUUUUUUAAAGGAGCCUUUAAAAUGCUCAUUUUUCUCGUACAACUAAUACUAUUUCUGUUUUUAUUCUUGUCCCAAUGAGCAAGUGGCAUAGAGUUUGUUGUUUGGAUAACUGGAGAAUUGGGAACAGAAUUCAUCAUUACUGAGAUCACUUUCAGCUUACCAGAUGAGAAGUGAAAAGCUCUUGCAUUUGUAAAUACCAUGUAAAGUGGCUACGACCAACAGGUCACAAUGGCUUCUGCCACAACUGUAUAUGAAAUUCUCUCUUUCCACUCUGUAUCCCUGUCUAUCUUCCUUCUGAGCAAGAUAUAGGAAACUUCUCUUGGAGCUGUCAGCUUUUGAGUCAAAUUUAGAGUUCAAUGUGAUAUUUUUCUCAUUUUUCCAACUGUAGUUUCAUGGAGAAGACGAGAAACAGUUUUUUUGGAGUCCACGUCUGGUCUCCAAAACAGUGUUUUAAAAAGGAGCCCACCUGGAUGGCACAUUAUGUUUGCUUGUCAUGUCUCUUGGUGCUCCUGUCCAUUCUGGCACUCUCCUUGUUUUUGAUGACCUUGAGAGUUUUGACGAGUACUGAUCAGGUAUUUUAUAGAUUGUCUCUCAGUUGGGAUUUGUGUGAUGUUUGUCUCAUGAUUGGACUAGGGUUAUGAGUUUUGGGGAGGAAGAGUAGUAAAGAGGCAAACUGCCAUUCUCAUUACAUUGAAUCAAGGGGACAUUCUAUCAGUAGGACUCAUAUAUGUUGAUAUUAACUGAACAUCUGGCUGAAAUUGUGUUUGUUAGAUUUCUCUACUGUAAAGCUCCUUUGUUUUGGUCCCUUUCCAAGCUAUACCCUUUGGAAUGAAGUCAUUAUGAGCAGCCUAUACUUAAGAAGUGGAAAUUAUGCUCCACUUUUUUGAGGGCAAUGUGUCUAUUUAAAUUAUUUGUAAUUAGUUACAUAGAAGAUUUGUCUUUUCUGUCCUUUUUUUUUUCUUUCAACUGUAUUUUCUUGCUCAGAUUGCUCCAACUUUGGCCGUUGGGAGCUCUUUCAGUUGGCUUCUGUUUCUCCUUGGUGUUACCACUGUUUGUGUGUUGUUAUUUAUCUUUUUGUUUUGUUUCAUUUUUAGCACUUCUUCACCUCCUGGCACUGUAGAGUACUCAGGCUCAUCUUGUAUCUUCCCUACCCCGGCCCUAGAAUCUGUAAUUUCUAAGAGGAGCUCUGGCUUCUCUUGAUGAAAAAUGUUAGAAACAAAGAUCAGGGCUUUAGAUUUGCUCAUUGCUACUGGGGUGUCAUUGCUUCUAGGUCUUCUCAGCAGAUAGAGUAAGAAAAUACAUGUGUGUGUAGUAGCAAUGUAUAUACACACAUCUGUAAAUGUUUCUACAUGUCCAUCUGCAUCAACAUCAUGCUAAACAUGGUUAAUACUGAUACCUCUAACUCAAAUCCAUUACUCCAUGAUUGUUCUAGUCUCUCGUCCAUGUUUGAAAUCUCUCACUCCAACAGUGAGAAACCUGGCUCCCACCAUCUGCUGUCCAUUUACUUAAUUGUGCAAUUACAGUGUACAUACAGAUUGGUUUCAGAAUCAUCCCUGUUGUUCUUCCCCUCCUGUUUUCUGAUCUAGAAGGCAUGCAUUUGACAGUGGUCUGAGUUCAAUCUCCAAAUGCCUGCCUCCUUUCUUUCCAUCUGUCUGUCUGCCCAUAUUAUCUAUCCAUCCCAUUUUUUAUUUAUCUCGUGAAUACACAUUUUUUGAGCUAAGUGAGCACAUUGACUUUUAGAAUCG